GCAGGGGCACUGCUGGUACUCCUGCCCUCUGAUCUCACAUCUAUCUCCAAAGAGGACAAGCAACAUUUGCAAAUUUUGGAGAGAGAUUUGCUGGCAGAGGAAACCACAAUCUCUGUGUAUUUCGCUCUUGAAACAGAAGAACUGUCUUCUAUCUAUGAAGAAAUUCACAGAGGAAAUGCAGGGGAUCAAGCUUCAACUGCUAUUGAAGCUCUGAUGAGUGGAGCCACAGCCAAUGGUUUCCAGAUGGUUGUAGCAGGAUCCCAAGCCAAGAGUCUUGCUGACUUCCAAAUCACAAAUAUUCAGGGUCACUUGUCAGGCUAUGGCAUUGAGGAACAACUACCCACUGUGGCUGUAGUAGCCCACUACGACUCCUUUGGAAUCGCUCCGAGCCUGUCUACUGGUGCUGAUGCCAAUGGAAGUGGAGUCAUAGCUCUGCUGGAACUCGCUCGCUUGUUUUCCAAACUCUACACAAACUCCAGGACACAUGCCAAAUUUAAUUUGGUCUUCUUGCUGUCUGGGGGAGGCAAAUUUAACUAUCAAGGAACAAAGAGGUGGAUUGAGGACAACCUAGACUCUCAAGAUUCCAACUUGCUGUCAGAUGUGGCUUACGUCCUGUGUCUAGACGGGAUAGGUAAAUCAGACGAGAUGUACCUUCAUGUCUCCAAACCUCCCAAAGAAGACUCACCUGGCCAUCACUUCCUACAGAAUCUGCAAAAUGUGCUCAAGUCAUUCUAUCCUGGUGUCAUAUUUGAAAUGGUGCACAAAAAGAUCAACUUGGCUGAUGACUUCUUGGCAUGGGAACAUGAGAGAUUUAGCAUCAAACGCCUGCCUGCAUUCACUAUCUCUCACUUUAACUCACACAAGGACCCAGAUAGAAGUACAAUUUUAGACCAGAGGGAAAGUGUUGAUGUGGGAAAGCUGAGCAGAAAUAUUGAAAUUGUUGCUGAAGCACUAGCAAGAUAUGUGUACAAUGUCAGUAGUCAUGGAAACCUGCAGCUAUUCUCAGGAGGACUGGGAGUCCAGCAGGAUUUGGUGGAAGCCUGGCUGGGACAGCUCACAUCUCAGCCUCGCGCCACCCAGCUACUGCCCAAGGACCACAGUCUCCAUAGCAACCUGGAGGAGGCCAUGAGUCGCUACCUCAAAGACGUCAAGAGAACAACAUUCAAAGCAGACAAGAGAGAUCCAGAAUUUCAGUUCUAUGAUGGUGCAACAUACACAAUGAGUGCUUACAAUGUAAAACCUGCCAUAUUUGACUUGUUCCUAGCUGUAGCUAUCCUAGGAUAUUUAGCUGUUGUCUACCUUGCUGUGCAGAAUUUCCACUUCUUGUACAGUGCUAUGCAGAAAUUGUCAAGUCCGAAAAAACUCAAAGUGCAAUGAACAGUAUGUCAGUUAACUUAAUCUAUUGUAUUAUAAUGAUCAAAAUCUUUGGACGAUGGACACCUGGAAUCUUUGAUGAGCGACGUGUUGUUGUAGAUGGCCUCAUUGGUCUUUGUGUAUGUGUUCCGAGAGAAAUCCUGAUCUCCGACACCAAGCGGUGUCAAUCACCUCACAGAACCGCGACCUCUAGCCUGUAGUUUAUAUUGUGAUAAUGAUGAUGAACAAUCCAAAGAUGUCUUUUUUCUACAUCCAAAAUAAACACACUUUUGUACUUGU
rnacentral:misc_RNA from 1 species